rnacentral:rRNA from 1 species
CCUACGGGAGGCAGCAGUGAGGAAUAUUGGACAAUGGGCGCAAGCCUGAUCCAGCCAUGCCGCGUGCAGGAAGAAGCAUCUAUGGUGUGUAAACUGCUUUUGUACAGGAAGAAACACUCCCUCGUGAGGGAGCUUGACGGUACUGUAAGAAUAAGGACCGGCUAACUCCGUGCCAGCAGCCGCGGUAAUACGGAGGGUCCGAGCGUUAUCCGGAAUCAUUGGGUUUAAAGGGUCCGUAGGCGGUUUAAUAAGUCAGUGGUGAAAUCUGGUCGCUCAACGAUCAAACGGCCAUUGAUACUGUUAGACUUGAAUUAUAAGGAAGUAACUAGAAUAUGUAGUGUAGCGGUGAAAUGCUUAGAUAUUACAUGGAAUACCAAUUGCGAAGGCAGGUUACUACUUAUGGAUUGACGCUGAUGGACGAAAGCGUGGGGAGCGAACAGGAUUAGAUACCCUGGUAGUCCACGCCGUAAACGAUGGAUACUAGCUGUUCGGAGCAAUCUGAGUGGCUAAGCGAAAGUGAUAAGUAUCCCACCUGGGGAGUACGUUCGCAAGAAUGAAACUCAAAUGAAAUUGACCGG